rnacentral:lncRNA from 1 species
AUCUACCCACGGGCUCUGGUUAGAGUCCUUGGGUCUGGGGUCUUUAUCUCCUCCCGCCGCAAACUAAUUGAUUUAAGUCGCGAUGUAGCAGCUGUACCCCUGAGGGCUACAGGCUUUAGGGAUCAAUUAGGCGCUAAACUGGGAUGUGUUUGAAAGGGGAAGAUGGAAGUGAUCGGGCCAACUUGUGACUGUCGCUACUUGACGCUUUUUCACCUCCCUUUCUCCUUUUUUGGCACCCUUAUCACCCCCUGGGCAGUAGGGUGGGGCAGUUUGUCCUGCUGUUGUUCCUGGCCCCGAGAGGUGCCACGCCUACUGGUCACCCACUGAGCUUGGGGCGGGGCUGCUUUGGCCUGCGGAGAGAGGGCCACGCCAGCGGAAGGCUUGCCUGAACCGGGAGGUGCCUGGACUAGCUUUACUACACAGAUUCCAGUGUCCCCGCCCCUUCCGGCUCCUCCACCUGGCCUGGAGCCCAAGUUUGGAAUAUGACCUUUUAGACUCUCUGAGCAACCGAGAUGGGUCGAAAAACCCGCCAUCACCGCUCUCCGGCCCCCCGUGUUUUCUCCGAUUGUUCCGUGCCCUCAGGCGAGUUCUUGCCGUAGGGAACCAGGAGGGGAACGUUAAACAAAAACUUCUUGAGCUAUUUCUAAAAUUUUCGUGUGAUGGAGGAGGGUCUUGCCGUGCCCGGACUAGCCCUAGUGACAGCUUAGAACCGUAGGUACACUCCUCUGCACCAGCGUUAGCUGAUUUUCAGCCUGGCUUCCAGACGUGACUUGCCCAUCCUCCGCUCAGUCCUUAGAGCUGCUGCUAGGCAGCUGAGACCUGGAGGGAGACUGCCGAGUUAGGUAGAUAAGAUAGCCUGCACCCUAGGCAGCCCGGCUUCACCCCUCUACUUUAUCUCUAGGCUCUAGCUGGAGUCUAUCUCCACCUCGUAUCUGUACCAUCUGCAUUUGGAUAGCUCAAUAAUUGAUUUAUGGAGCCUCUGAGAAAGGGGAGUGGAGGCUUCAGCCUCCCCCACCCCAAUUUGUACUUUGUCCUGAACGACGGCCGUUAGUGUGCCUCUGCUCCCCUGGAUCUGUGGUUUAGUCUUCCCAGUGACCACCUGGCAGCUCCCUGAGGGGUUUUGAAGCAAGAACCAGUGGAAGGAAUUUUUUGCUUUCCUAUGCUCUCCAGGAAUUCCUGGACAAUCAGAGUGACCCAGGCCCCCCAGAACAUCUUGCAGAUGAGGGAGUAAGCCACCCUGAGUGGGUGAGUGUGUGUAUCUCCUCAGCUGGGCCGGCUUGGCCCUGCCUGACCUCUGAGGAGGCUCUCAGAAGCAGCUGGCUGGAUUCCUAGGUAUUUUUAGCUACAGAUUUAGCCCCACCAUCACCACGAGCUGAGUCCAGAUCCAACACUCUAGGCCUGGUAGUGCUGGGGCUCUGCCAGCCUC